AAUCUUUCAGCACAAGAGAUUACAUGCUUUUAUGUUUGCUGCAGGAGAAAGAAAGAACAGAGGCAGAAAGCUGAAAAUACCUCCCAUGUGUUAACCUGAGCCAAGCCCAUACAUUGAGCAACUUUAAAUGAAGUUAUCAGAUCCUCUGUUUCCUGUGGAGGCAUGCAAGAAAACAAAGUCUUCUUCAAGAAUACAAGCGUUUCACUGCAGGUGUGUAUCCGCCCUCCCUUUCCACCUGCGUCGACCUGCUUUGUGAGCGAUCUGACUGUUUGGAUUGAGAGAAAUGGUGGGAAUUCAACCAAGACUUGAUACAAAUCUGAUCACCCAAAGCGCUCCUGGCAGGUAGUCAUAUAUUGUGAAGAGAGAAGACAAAGACAUCUUUGUUUUACUUGACACUGAUUCUCCUGAACUUAAUUUUCAGUUAUGUAUUUUAUAGCCCAUUUCACACAUUACCUUUAUUUACAACAGCUACUUCUUUCUACCCUUUCAUUCUGUGUUGCUCCUCCUGAGAUUUAUUUCUUUUCUCAGAUAAACCUACAUUAACUGAUUUUUCUUUGGCCACUUGGGGGCAACAUCUGAAGGAAACACCUGGCUGACUUGGCAGCUGCUUAAUGCUCCACUGUGUUCACCAACGAGCUACUGAAUUUAUCUGCCUGUUGUUUGGUGCGGAGCGGGUAGUGGUUUGAGAAAGCCGAAAAAACAGCUGCUUCAUGUUCCUGGAAGUGAUGCUGAUGAGAGCGGUGGGAAUGUACUGCUUUUACUUAUCAUCUGUCACAUAUUAAAAGUGGCCAAAAUCUAGAAUAUUGUGGUAAAUGUAUGUAAAAGUAAUCUGUGAGACAAAAACCUCAGGUUUCCAACUGUCCUGAACACUUGUGUCAGACAGUUUUUUUCUUCUCUCACCUCAAGAUGAUGUAAGCUUUGACGGAUUUCUAUAUGGUCAUCUGCUCCAGGCACAUAAAGACAGUGUUUACAAUAUACACUGUAUACUGCUACAUUUAGAUCCCAAUGUAAGGAAAACCUAUCUCAUCUAACCUAUCUAACCUUAUCUUGAUUGUUGAUUGUUAAUUUCCCCCCAGUUUUCAAUUACAUUCCUCCUGGAACAUGUUAAGUCGUGUGAAUUUGGUGUAGAAGCUUUUGUUGGUAAUUUGUAAUGGGAGAAAGUGCUGCUACAAUGACGUGAAACUUGUAAUCUUUGUUGCUGAUGUUGUUAAUUUUUCCCCAAUUUCAGAUCACCAUUCUGCUAGAACAUGUCGAAUUGUGUACAUUUUGGUUUAGAAGCUAUUAUGUUGAUAUUUCGGAAAGAGACUGUACAGAGAAACUAAGAGCAAAGAUGCGGAAGACCUGGAAACGCUGAUCAAUCAGAACAGACUGGGCUUAUUUGGGAUGAUGGGUUACAGAUACAGGCACUCAAAUGGAGCGUCUCAGACAGAGGCUGAAUAGAGUUGCAGCAGCCAUGGGCAGUAUGAGAAAAAUAAAG